CUUGUUUGAGUGGUCUAGAAGGUGCAAUCUUGUGAGCUAAGAUCUUUGAUCUAUUUAAUUUGAUCUAUUUAAUUUGUUCCAUAGAUCCAUUUUCUUCAAUCUCUCCUCCUCUUUGGCAAUCCCUUCACUUGUUUGAGAGGUCUAGAAGUGCAAUCUUGUGAGCUAAGAUCAGAGAGCAAGUUCAGAAAUUUUGUAUUGCAGGUUUGCGAUAGUAAAAAAAGAUUUAAAUGGAUCAAGGCAAGUCUAUGGUGGAGAGCACAAGAAAUGGACACCUGCCCAAAAGAUGGAAGCCAAAUUUAGAACAAAGGCGGAUAUUAGAGUCCAUAUUUGCUACUGUAACCAAAAACACAAGAAGGGAACGGAUAGCUCAGAUUACUGCUGUGCUACAACAAUAUGGCAGAGUGGAACAAAGAAAUGUUUUCUAUUGGUUUCAAAAUGCAAAUAAUCGAAACAAGCUUUGUACUUCCAAACGUACUCCAAUCUAUGGUACUACUAAAUCAUCUGUAUUCGGACCAAAGGAAGCUAACGAAAUAUUUUUAAAGGUAAGGAUUAUAACGAAAUAUUUUUAAAGGAAGAAGAAGAGAGUGGACGGUUUCAGAGGAAUUCACCAACAGAUGUUUCCGAAUUAGCAACUUUGCAAUUAUUUCCUUUACAUCCUGAUAAAGGAGGAAGUUCUUAACAGCCGAAGAAACUUUAUGAGAUUUUUGGCAACUGGUUAUUGGGUUUUUAAGAGUGGAGAAAAUGUAUUUGUAUCUGCAACAUUAGCUUUUGUGAAUGUCUAACACUGGCUAAUCUUUAUUGACAGUUGAUUAA